CAGUAGCCGCGGUAAUACGGAGGGGGCUAGCGUUGUUCGGAAUUACUGGGCGUAAAGCGCACGUAGGCGGCUUUGUAAGUCAGAGGUGAAAGCCCGGGGCUCAACCCCGGAAUUGCCUUUGAGACUGCAUCGCUUGAAUCCAGGAGAGGUGAGUGGAAUUCCGAGUGUAGAGGUGAAAUUCGUAGAUAUUCGGAAGAACACCAGUGGCGAAGGCGGCUCACUGGUCCAUUACUGACGCUGAGGUGCGAAAGCGUGGGGAGCAAACAGGAUUAGAUACCCCGGUAGUCCCUGUCUCUUAUAC
rnacentral:rRNA from 1 species